GGUUUGGUUGAUACGGUGGAGGGAAGGGAUGCCAUCCAGACGGACUCUGACAUGCUUGAGAGAUGGGCCAAUGCCAACCUCAUGUAGUUCAACAAAGCAAAGUGUAAGGUCCUGUACCUGUGUUGGGGCAAUACCAGGCACAGCUGCAGGCUGGGCUGAGACUGGAUUGAGAGCAGCUCUGAGAAAAAGGACUUGGGGGUGCUGGUUGAAGAGAAACUUAACAUGACCCAGCAGUGUGGGCUUGCAGCCCAGAAAGCCAACCAUAUCCUGAGCUGCAUCAAAAGAAGCGUGACCAGUGGGGUGAAAGAGAUGAUCCUGCCCCUCUACUCUGCUCUUGUAAGACCCCACUUGGAGUACUGUGUGCAGUUCUGGUGUCCUCAACAUAACAGGGAUAUGGAAAAGUCCCGAGGAGGGCCAUGAGGAUACGGGGGCUUGAUCACCUCCCACAUGAAGACAGGCCGAGAAAAUAGCAGCUGUUCAGCCUGGAGAACAGAAGGCUGCGUGGUAACCUCAUAGCAGGCUUUUAAGAUCUGAUGGGGGCUUAGAAGGAUACAGGAGAGGGUCUCCUUACCAGGGAAUGUAGCAAUAGGACAAUCGGUAAUGGGUUUAAACUUAAACAGCGGAAUUUCAGGGAGAAAAGUCAGGCACGAUGGCCAUCAGUUAGGACAACAGAACCUUCAGAAACAGAACAUACUGUG